rnacentral:rRNA from 1 species
UACGGGGGGGGCAAGCGUUGUUCGGAAUUACUGGGCGUAAAGGGUUCGUAGGUGGCCAACUAAGUCAGACGUGAAAUCCCUCAGCUUAACUGGGGAACUGCGUCUGAUACUGGUUGGCUUGAGUGCAGGAGAGGAAUGCGGAAUUCCAGGUGUAGCGGUGAAAUGCGUAGAUAUCUGGAGGAACACCGGUGGCGAAGGCGGCAUUCUGGACUGCAACUGACGCUGAUGAACGAAAGCCAGGGGAGCAAACGGG